CAGCAGCCGCGGGAAAACAGAGGGUGCGAGCGUUAAUCGGAUUUACUGGGCGUAAAGCGUGCGUAGGCGGCUUUUUAAGUCGGAUGUGAAAUCCCUGAGCUUAACUUAGGAAUUGCAUUCGAUACUGGGAAGCUAGAGUAUGGGAGAGGAUGGUAGAAUUCCAGGUGUAGCGGUGAAAUGCGUAGAGAUCUGGAGGAAUACCGAUGGCGAAGGCAGCCAUCUGGCCUAAUACUGACGCUGAGGUACGAAAGCAUGGGGAGCAAACAGGAUUAGAUACCCCAGUAGUCCCUGUCUCUUAUAC
rnacentral:rRNA from 1 species